rnacentral:rRNA from 1 species
CUUGACUAAUUAUAAGAGGUCCAGCCUGCCCAGUGACACUGUUCAACGGCCGCGGUAUCCUAACCGUGCGAAGGUAGCGUAAUCACUUGUUCUUUAAAUGAGGACUAGUAUGAAUGGCACCACGAGGGUUAUACUGUCUCCUUUCUUUAAUCAGUGAAACUAAUCUCCCCGUGAAGAAGCGGGGAUAAUUUUAUAAGACGAGAAGACCCUAUGGAGCUUUAAACAAGUAAUAAUUGCCUUUAUUAAUUUUUAAUCUACGGAAAUUUACCCUCUUAUUCAGGCACUCUAAUUACACGUUUUAGGUUGGGGUGACCGCGGAGCAUAAAAUAACCUCCAUAGUGAACGGGUAUUAUUCCCUAAACCCAGGGCUACAACCCUAAGCAUCAAUAAAUUGACACCCAUUGACCCAAUAUCUUGAUCAAUGAAC